UACGGAGGGGGCAAGCGUUGUUCGGAUUUACUGGGCGUAAAGGGUGUGUAGGCGGUUAUGUAAGUCUGGUGUGAAAUCUUCAUCGCUCAACGGGAAGAGGUCACUGGAAACUGCGUAACUCGAGUGUGGUAGAGGCAAGCGGAAUUCCUGGUGUAGCGGUGGAAUGUGUAGAUAUCAGGAAGAACAUCGGUGGCGAAGGCGGCUUGCUGGGCCAUUACUGACGCUGAGGAGCGAAAGCAUGGGGAGCGAACAGG
rnacentral:rRNA from 1 species